rnacentral:rRNA from 1 species
GUGGGGAAUAUUGCACAAUGGGGGAAACCCUGAUGCAGCAACGCCGCGUGAGUGAUGACGGCCUUCGGGUUGUAAAGCUCUGUCUUCAGGGACGAUAAUGACGGUACCUGAGGAGGAAGCCACGGCUAACUACGUGCCAGCAGCCGCGGUAAUACGUAGGUGGCAAGCGUUGUCCGGAUUUACUGGGCGUAAAGGGAGCGUAGGUGGAUAUUUAAGUGAGAUGUGAAAUACCCGGGCUCAACUUGGGUGCUGCAUUUCAAACUGGAAGUCUAGAGUGCAGGAGAGGAGAAGGGAAUUCCUAGUGUAGCGGUGAAAUGCGUAGAGAUUAGGAAGAACACCAGUGGCGAAGGCGCUUCUCUGGACUGUAACUGACGCUGAGGCUCGAAAGCGUGGGGAGCGGACAGGAUUAGAUACCCGUGUAGUCC